AAGCUUGCAUUAAGUGCUGACCCUAUCUGCCAACUACCCACUAAUGAACCUUCAAUGUCCAUUCAGUUUUCAAAUGAAUUCGUAUUACCCGAGGUGUCUCUCUAUCUCCCCAAUCUCUCAACUUUUUUGCUAUUCCCAUUCACUCUUAUGUUUUCAAUGCCAAACUCUUUCCUCCUCUAACUCCUUCUUUUUUCUGAGAGAGCGAUGAAGUACCUCAUGUGUCGUGUCUUGCUUGCUGUUCAUUUGGUUAUGCAAACCGGAUUGUAAAUCGGUGAACUUGUAACUUUCUCAAGAAAAUCGGUGAAGUUUAUUUUGAUGAAAUUGUGAGGAUUGGAGUACGAUUGUUGGGAUGGAAUUUCUUGAAUCAAUUUUAGGGGAAGAAGAAUCCACUGUUCUUUUUGGGGUGAAUUUGCAAAAACAAUUGAGAAGUAUUUUGCUGCGAAUGAUAAUUCCCUGCCGAUAAUAUUGAUGUUCUUCAUCAAACAAUUGAUAUUACAGUUCGGCAAAACUAGGAAAUAUAUGGGUAGAUACAGUCAACUCCACAUCACAAUUCAUGUUUGAACUAUAUUGUUUCGUUAAUUUUUUUUUUUCUGUUAACACAUUGCAUACACGUCCACAUUGCAAUGGGUGGGGCGAACUCAUUCUUUGGGACAAAAGUGAUUUUAAACGGCGAUCUGCCUGAAGUUGAAAUGUACAAAAAAAAAAAAUGGAUUCUGCUGAUGUACAAUUGACUCAAGGUGUGAGCAUGAUGUCUUCAUAUAUAGUGCACGUCCCGUGGCUGAGGAGUUGCUCAAAACAAAGCGGAUGACUAUAAAAGAUUUAUGAAAUGUCAUCAGGUAAUUGAUUACGACAUCGCAUUAGAGCUGAUGACACGAUUGUGGUCGGUAAUUCAGUAAUUUUAUGAUAUGAUCGAAGGAUUGUGGUUGGAUUUUAUUUUGUAGUUUAUAUGUGAUGCUGAAAAAGUGAACUUUGUUGUUUAAAACCUUUGAAAUGGAAAAUGAUUUUCUUAGUUGCUUUUUCUUUCAGUUCAUAUUAAAUUCAGAAUUCAACUGAAGUUAUUUGCAUUUUCGAUUUGAAUUUAAUAUCAUGUUAUAGCUAAAAAAAAAAAUCUGGUUAUUAGAGGUAUGAUAGGUGAUUAUAUUUACAAGGGUUUUGGUUGUGAUGAUUCGUUGAUGCCUUGAUCAAUAACAAUCGUUUUGGCUCAAAAAUCUGUUUUCAUAAAAGUUAGUGCUCUCAAUUUGUGUUUGCUAUCUGUUCUUAUAAACUUCAGAAUUUAAGUCAAGUUUUCUACAAUUUGACUAUGAUUAUAAUAUCAUAUUAUAGCAAGUGUUUGUACACUUCUUAUAGGUCUGAGAUAUGAUUAUCAAUACAAACAUUCCUUGAUUCUUCUGCAUGUUAGCUGCAUACUGAAUUUAUUUACAUAUAUUGAUCAUUCCAAAAACUCAUGGACUGUAAACAUAUCAUUCAAUGUUUGUGUUUUCACUUUCUAAUGAUUUCAGGGUUAUUUAAAUAUGUAGCUGACUUAAUUAAAGAUAACAAUAACAUGAGUACAGAGUCCCAUUGCAGUAUACUCUCUGUUUACUUUUUUGGAGUUGCAUGGUCUACUAGAGAAAUGGAGUUUCUGUUUUUCAUGUCCCUUAUGAUGUUUUGGAUGUAAUAGUUGUUUUUAAACUUUAAAUCAAUGUUUUAAAAAUUGAAGUGAAACUCGAAUGAGUCAAGAAAUAAGAGUUUAAUAAAUUAAAAAUUAUUGUAGAAGUUUGAAGAACAGUUGAGAGCUAAAAACCAUGAGAUCAGCACUUCAAAAUCAAAAGACAAGUGAAGACAAAGAGCAAAUAAUGGGUAAUGAUGAAAUUACUUAGAUUAAUUUGGUAACAAUUAGAUUCUCUUAAUAUACUUGAAUUUUGAGUUCUAUUAUUUCUAUUUUUCAAGUUUGCAUUGUAACCUUAAGUUCCGAAACUUACUCAAAUCAUGAGCUUAAUUUUUUAGGGAAACAUACCUUAUGUCUUAAAACCAACUCAAAUCAAUUAUAGUAAUUAUGUCACAACACUAGCCUGAAAAAUAGGAUUUUAAUUUGUUUUGGGACUUGGUUGAUUUGAGUUUAUUUCAGAACAUGUCAAAUGAUAUCUUGCUAUUGAUCAAGGGUAAGAUCAACAUGAUUUGAAUGUCCUUCGUCUCAAUGGUGUACUGAUUCCUUAAAGUGCAGGUCCUGGUAGGUAAUUAUAAAUUUCUGCUGCAUAUGUAUGGUGUGGGAAGAAGUUUUGGUAUGGUUUUGUUAGUCUGGCUUUAAGGACAUUUGAAGUUUUGGUAUGGUUUUGUUAGUCUGGCUUGGACUUUGUUCGGUUAUUAUUGAGGAAAUUGGAUUUAGGUCUGUAUCUAUGAAGAGGAAGCUUUAUGUUAUUUUGUUAUGGGAUUUCCAGUAUUUGUGUAUGUAAAGGGAGUUAGAACUACAUCGAUUAUAAGUCGUCUAAUUGUGAAUGGAUUCGUGAAGAGGGAAUUUUUGGGAUAUAGAUGGUAUUUGGUCUGCUUGACUGUUUCUGGCGUGUCAUCUUUGGUUGUUCUGUUCUGCUGCACCGGUGUUCAUUGGGCAGUUGAGUAACCUUAUGGUUAUGAUUAUAUUUUGAUAUUGAUACUAUCGUAGGAUUGUUGUGUAGCAAUAUUAAUAAACAGCCAUCUAUGUAAUAUUGUGUAAUGUUAGUAUUCACAUGUUGGAAAUAUGAUAUGCCCCUAUAUUAUCACCCAAAAGUUGUGAGCAUACAUAUCAUCUCAAAUGUUGUUUAUCAUGAAGUCUUUCGUAAUGUAUCUUGAUGAUUAAAGUUCAAAUAUUUUUCUGAGGUAUAUUAUCAUCUCAUUUUGUU